AUCAACUGUUUGAUGAAUUGCUAGAAGAAAUUGUACGUUUUUUUGCUCUAUGUUUGAAGCGGGUAAAAUGUGAUUUAGCCGUUCUUUCGAAAAUCACUCAUGAAAGCUUUUGAACAUGAGGUGAAGUAGUCCAGUUGACCAAAUGUGGUGGCCUAUCACCGACCGAGGCGGUGGAUUUCCUAAGGUGGGUAACUGCCCUCUGUUGAUUGCUCUGCGACGUCUUGCUGAAUUCUACUUGUUGCACGGAGGUGGAACAAACGUCAUCUCGGAGGCAGGCAGGGAGGGAGGUCACUCUUAGUUAUUCUGCAUGUUUGCUUGGUCUCCUGAUCGCUACCAUGAAGGUGAUUUUGAUUGCACUGGAUCUUAUUUUUUGCUUAGGAUGUGCUGCUGCUCUUCUAUGAUCUGAUAUGUGCUCUUUUUCCACAGAUUGGUGAUAAGUGAGCAGGCAGUUUGUCAUUGUUCGUGAAUCGUCUCUUUAGUCUUCCUCUUUGCUCUGCUCGGCUUUAUAAUAAGGACACUAUGACACUAUGGUAUUACUUCAAAUAUGUCAGCAAGCCACUUUAGAGCCUUGCUACAUUUACGUCAGUAUUUGCUUCACUUUAGUGCAUCAUGGUCUUUGGUCGUUCAUUUCAUCCUGAAGAGCAACAAUCAGGUCGCUUCCCUUCCCCCCUUUUUCUCUAUUUCAAAACUCUUCUUUCACCUUUGCAGACUUCCUAUGAGAACUUCAAGUAUGUGUGCGCACGACGGGCUAGCCCAUAUGAUAGUACUGCUUGGAGCUGACAUAGAGAUUAAUUAAAUUAAUCUUUAGUUCUUCUCUUCAUUUUUUCAUCAGUCAACCUUAAGAUAAACUCUCUUAAAAAAUCAUGUUUUCUUCUUCUUUGAAAUGAUUUGAUAUGAUAUAAUUGUAGAGAUCAUUUUUGUAGCUAUAUGUGUUCAAUACAGAUUACAUUAUUUGAGCUCUCUCAUGCUAUAUUCAAUAAGAAUAGUAUAUAGUACUGGAAAGCUUAUCUUAUAACAAUGAGGGUGUAAGGCACUACUUACAAUCAUUAUGGGGUAAUUUUUGACAUAUUAUUACAUUUUUCUAACCCAAACAAUAUUUUUUGAAAUGCUCUUAGGCUAGGCUGGUGAGAUGCACAGGAGCCCUGGUUAUAGGUGAAGGGAGGUGUUGUGUAGAAGAGGGUUUUUUCUAGCUAUGUGAGCCCAAGAUGUGUGAUGUUCAAGAAGGUAGGGUGGCCAUGUUUCAUUUCUUCUUAGGACAUAAAUAUGUGAAAAAUAUUAAUGCACUUCUCUCUUGAUGGAAUAACUGUGCAUUGAGGUAUAUGCAAUCAUUACCUUCAUGAUUUGAAGAUCCGUGCUGCUGUGGAACAGGAGGGCAAUUAAGAUCGUCAGCAACUCGUCGCAUGGCAACUCCAAGAUGCUUGUGUCCACUAGAUUUCUCAUUUAGUAUAUGUUCCUUGCUGCUGCGGCAGAUUGGAUUGGUGGGUCAUAUAUAUUUGGUUCUAUAAUGGCAAGUUGAUCAAAAUCACGUGGUCUUCUUUAGGUUUAAGAAAAAUGGAUGUAAAACGACAAGGAAGGUCCUGAUCAGAUGUGGUGGCUGCUGCGGCUGGUGGUGCUCUGGGCGCGCAAGGGGAGCGCCUCCGCUUGCUCAAGAUUGCCACAACCAUGCCAGCUUCGGCGGCAUGCGCAGUGACUGGUUGCACUAUGGCUAACUUGAAUUCCCCUGCACGCACAUGCUCCAGUUUAUCCUCUGCAUCGCAUCCUUCGCCCCGAACACUCUCCCUGGCGUCUAUGACAACAAUCAGUACUUCUUCGAUGCCGCGAGAGGGAUGUUGACUGCAUGGAGGACUACCACGAUGGCGUGCAAAACGAGGAGAACCGGGCGGAUGAGCAACUGCUCUGUAAUGGCAAGUCCUCGUGGCUGCAAUACAAUGACAUGGAGAGGUGCUAGAUACAGUCCUAAGAAUGUUUGUUUAUUUACCGAGUUUGAUAAACUUUUGGAUAAGCCAUUGUAUGUGUAAUGCAUCUUGUAAGCAAAUAGAUAGCUCACUGCUACUCCCUUUUGUUUA